ACUCUUGAAGGGGGCAGUAUAUUAGUUACAGCAGCGCUCCAAAAGAAGUAAAGGAUUUGUAGUGGAAUGAGUUCAAGGUAAGUUUUGUUCUUCUAGGUGUUUCUAGUGGCCGUGUUAGGGAUCGGAUCAUACCCUCUUAUUGGUACUUUUAAUUGUCAGAAGUGGGAAGUCCCACAUCAAGUAGUAAUGGAUAUGAACUUUAGAAAAUCCAUUGCUGAAUUGUCUGGUGCAUGGUAAUGGAUAUGUGACCCUCAUAAUAA